rnacentral:rRNA from 1 species
UACGUAGGGUGCGAGCGUUGUCCGGAAUUAUUGGGCGUAAAGGGCUCGUAGGCGGUUUGUCGCGUCGGGAGUGAAAACACGGGGCUUAACUCUGUGCUUGCUUCCGAUACGGGCAGACUAGGGGGAUGCAGGGGAGAACGGAAUUCCUGGUGUAGCGGUGGAAUGCGCAGAUAUCAGGAGGAACACCGAUGGCGAAGGCAGUGGGCUGGGCCGGCACUGACGCUGAGGAGCGAAAGCGUGGGGAGCGAACAGG